rnacentral:lncRNA from 1 species
CCUUCCCUUGUGUUGGCAGCAGGGAGGCUGGGAAGAAGCAAGAUGGCAGGGAGGAAGGAGCUGAGAAUUCCUCUUCUCUGUGCUGAAGGUCUGUGAGAAAGGUCCAUGGCUCUGUGGCUCUGAAGUCUGGACACUUGGCCAUUCACCAGUUGUAAGAGGUGGCUCAGCCAGCACCCAAGUGCUCAAGGAG